AACGAACGCUGGCGGCAUGCCUAACACAUGCAAGUCGAACGAGACCUUCGGGUCUAGUGGCGCACGGGUGCGUAACGCGUGGGAACCUGCCCUUAGGCUCGGAAUAACUCCCCGAAAGGGGUGCUAAUACCGGAUAAUGUCUUCGGACCAAAGAUUUAUCGCCUUUGGAUGGGCCCGCGUUGGAUUAGCUAGUUGGUAGGGUAAAAGCCUACCAAGUCGACGAUCCAUAGCUGGUCUGAGAGGAUGAUCAGCCACACUGGGACUGAGACACGGCCCAGACUCCUACGGGAGGCAGCAGUGGGGAAUAUUGGACAAUGGGCGAAAGCCUGAUCCAGCAAUGCCGCGUGAGUGAUGAAGGCCUUAGGGUUGUAAAGCUCUUUUACCCGGGAUGAUAAUGACAGUACCGGGAGAAUAAGCUCCGGCUAACUCCGUG
rnacentral:rRNA from 1 species